rnacentral:rRNA from 1 species
UACAGAGGUCUCGAGCGUUGUUCGGAUUCAUUGGGCGUAAAGGGUGCGUAGGUGGCGCUGUAAGUCGGGUGUGAAAUCCUGAGGCUUAACCUCGGAACUGCAUUCGAUACUGCGGCGCUUGAGGACUGGAGAGGAGACUGGAAAUUCAUGGUGUAGCAGUGAAAUGCGUAGAGAUCAUGGGGAAGACCAGUGGCGAAGGCGGGGUCUCUGGACAGUUCCUGACACUGAGGCACGGAAAGCGUGGGGAGCAAACAGG